UUUCUCUCUCUCCAUCCCCCUGUCUCAACCCGACUUUAUUCAAACUGCCUGAAGGACACAGAGAGGGCCGGCUGGCUGCGCAUAGCGGGCUGUGAACGCUUUCUGGCAUCGUCUCGGCCCUCUUCAGCGUGAUCUCCAUUUCAAAAGCAGAAGGAAAGCAGAUGGUCUCCAUCAGUCUGAAUGUGUAACAGGCCCGCAUCAUCUAUUCGGUACCGGGACGGACAGUCGGCGACCCGACAGCUCUGGCUGGAGGCCGGUCUGGCGCGCUGGGAGCAACCGGCCUCAGACUGGCUGCGCCGUUCUCCGACCUGGCAGAACACCUCCCGCUGCUGGACGCCGUCGCCACAUGAUACCGAACACUGGAAGCGGAACAGAUUCUGUGAGUAUAACAUGCUCACGACUGAGACCACCAUCAAGCUCCUCAUAUUUUUCAGGUUACAGGAGCAACAGCGGAUGAUAAACACAUCCAGAUGACGGAGCUGAAGUGAGGUCACAUCAUUUGUGGCCACAGAGUUUCUCCAGAUAAAGGUUUAAAUCUGUAAAAACAUGUCAUCUGAUACAUAGAUUAUCAGCACAUGUGUGACCCGACAUUAUAUAUUAACUGUGGUGGUAUCAUAGCUUGGAGGUACAAGGCAGCCUGUUGCACCAUGGGUAAUCACACUGUAGCUGAGAGUGUCAUGUGGAGGCACUUUCCUCUGGCAUGCGUGUGCUCUACAGCUGUUUGGAGCAGACACACAUCCUCCCUGACGUAUGCAGCACAGAUGUGUUUCUGUGCUAUGACUGCUGGCAAGUGGGGUGAAGUCAGAGACGCAGCACAGGGGGAGAAAAAGACAGAGAAAAAGAGAGUAACGGGGGGAAGGAAGGAGAAAAAGCAGACGACAAGCUCUCCGGUAUGAUGAUGCCUGUUCUGUAGCAGCGCAUUCAAAUAAUAGGUCAACAUGCGGUUUCCAUUGUGACGGUGGAAGACAGAGAGAAAAAAGUGAGGAUGUGACGUGAGGCUUAAAGGAAAAGUAAAGACUGAGAGGAUGCGAGGGGCCGAAGCUUUACUAAAGAGAGCUCCAAGUGACUGCUGCUGCUGCGGCGCUACGUCUUACUGUACUUCUCCCAGGCCCAGCAUGAAAAGAUGCAGACCACCAUAUUACUGUAGGUGUAAACCAGCCUGGCACAGCGAAUGAAUGCUAGGUUGUCACACACAUGCAACGUCUAACUGGAAGAGAAAAGCAUGAGAGGGACAGCAGGAGAUGCAGGAGGUGAGUGCUGAAGCUGCCGGUCCCACCUCUCCC